UAGGCUAGGUGUUGAAUAUGCCAUGUGAACUCAAGACUUUUUGGUCUUGGUUGUUGGCAUAGUUGCUAGUGUAUGCCUAUAACUAGCAUGCAAUAUUUGUGCAUCAGGGUAUGCUUGUCGAGUGACAGGGUAAAGCAUCAGAGAGGCAUCCAAGGGGGAGAGCAUUCGGCUCUCCCAUGGGAAAGGUUGAACAUGGGUUGAGAGAAAAUCAAGAGAACUAGAGUGAAAAGAUCUUCUUGUGAAAGAACUCUUGUGGUAGAGUGAGGUUCUUGAAAAAAUUUUGUGAGUGGGUGUACAAGGGAUUCGGGAUUGGGUUAUGUUGAUUUAACUCAUGUGUAAUUUGUACCGUUAUUCUCAUGGUGAAGAGCAAUAUCUCUCUGGAGAUGUAGACGAACAGGCUAAGGCACAACACUUACCAGUGUGAGAAGUACUCAAAUUAACACUAAAUUUCCCUCUAUGUAAGCAAAUCUGAUCAAGGGAGAGUCCAUUUUGUCAGAGUUUUGGGCUUUCUCGCUUUUCCCUUAGUUUUCGGCCUUUUGUAAUGAAAAUGCUGAAACACAAAGUGUUCCACAGAGAUAAAAGGCCACAACAAGAAGUCUGUAGAUACACAGGAUGGGUCCGAUGGGCGGUCUGUACAUGUCUCCACAUUAUGUGUAACUUGAAGACACAUAUCACAUAUGACGUGCAGUGAACUGAAGAUGAUAUUGGCAUGGCUCAAUCAGAUUAAAUGAUCCGAUCAAUUAACCAUGGAGAUGAUCACUUGAUACCCAAGUCUCAUAAAGGCUGAGCUCAACACGAAAAUUUUUUGGAUGUAAUUGAGGUUAUAUAUUUCUCUCUCUUUCGUCAUAUGAUCAUGCGUGAUAGAAAUCGGCUAUUAUUUUAAUUUGAUCGUAUUUUUUUUUUUCUCAGAAUUUAUUCAAACAAGUAAUGAUUAAUUUGGCUAUAGUUGGGAUCGUUUGGCAGCAAUUGCUUUUCAGACGUCAUUCAAGGUGAUGGCUUAGUUUCAAGUCUGUAACUCUUUGAACUCCUGCCUCAACCAUGGGAUGAUAUUGCUUUUCCAUAAUAAGAGAGGAAACUGUAGCGGGAUAUCAUGGAAAUAUAACUUCGGCACUACAUUUUUGCUCUU